rnacentral:rRNA from 1 species
AUUGAACGCUGGCGGCAUGCUUUACACAUGCAAGUCGAACGGUAACAGGCCUUCGGGUGCUGACGAGUGGCGAACGGGUGAGUAAUGCAUCGGAACGUACCCAGAGGUGGGGGAUAACGCAGCGAAAGCUGUGCUAAUACCGCAUGUGAUCUGAGGAUGAAAGCGGGGGACCGAGCAGCAAUGUUUGGCCUCGCGCCUUUGGAGCGGCCGAUGUCGGAUUAGCUAGUUGGUGGGGUAAAGGCCUACCAAGGCGACGAUCCGUAGCUGGUCUGAGAGGACGACCAGCCACACUGGGACUGAGACACGGCCCAGACUCCUACGGGAGGCAGCAGUGGGGAAUUUUGGACAAUGGGCGCAAGCCUGAUCCAGCAAUGCCGCGUGAGGGAAGAAGGCCUUCGGGUUGUAAACCGCUUUUGGCAGGAACGAAACGGUGUCCGCUAAUACCGGGCGCUAAUGACGGUACCUGCAGAAUAAGCAGCGGCUAACUACGU